rnacentral:lncRNA from 1 species
UUGGUUUGAUGGUUGAGUUUUAAAUUUUGCUUAAUGAAUAAAUUAUUUAAUUAUUUUAUUAAUUUAUUUAAAUUUUUCCUGUAAGUUAGAAAUUGUUGUGUUUUGGUUACUAAUUAUUUUAUUAUCAUAGAGUAUACGUUAAUAGGAAUUAAGAUGUGGUGCAAAUAAAAAUUAUGUGUGGGGCCACUUUAUUCAUUUAAAAUUAUGGUUAGUAACCACAUGAGUCAAACAAGAUGAGAGAGUUAGUUUUUUUUNGUGAUCCUUGCCGAAAAGUAAGGCAACAGAAGGAGUGCAACGUUAGAGUUAGUGGAGUUAUGGGGAAUUAGGAGAGAGGGUUGUUUCUGGUUAUAAAUUGGAAAACAGAGAGAAAAGUAAAGGGGGGCAUUGUGAGACAGUGGCUGGAAAACCUAAACAGUAGUUUGAAAUUGCUUGAGUCAAGAACGAGAGUUGGAAGGAGGUGAAAGUUUUGGCUGNAAACGUUGGGUAAAGAAAGAAGUCUAGGAUCAUUCAAGGUAAGGGAAGCUUACUAGUAUUUUAUAUUUGAUAUUGAUGUUCUUGUUGUGAAUCCUUGCAUGAUUUAUAUUNAUAUUACUUGCUGUUUAAUCAAAAUAUGAUAUAUACUGUGAGGAAUGGGUUAAUCCAUAUAUUAAUUUUGUUUGUGUCAAGGGAGUGGCCAUGAUCUAUCUANGUAUGCGUGGGAUUUGAUUGAUGAUUUUGAUGAUACUAUGAUGUCUUGGGUUGUAUGAGAAUUGUGUGUAUCGACAUAUACGUAUAUUCUUGUGUUUUGGAUGGAAGAGUAGGAAAGAGAGUUUGGGGUUUUCAUAUUUUGCUUACAGAGGAUACGCGAAUAUGAGGAGAGUGAAGGGUUUGAUGUCGGAGAAGUUUUAGAGAGUGUACGGGUACACUGAUGACAGGGGAGAAAGGUGAGUGUGAUGGGUGUUGGAGUGCAUAGCGGUAUUUUCUACGAAGUAGGGUUUCACUUCUUUCUGUGGGAAGAAUAAGGUUUGUAGUGGUGUCGAAUUAUAGGAAGCACGGAUAUAUGGUGGAAUGAUGCAUGGAGAUUACCUAAGUGAGAAUGUAGGAGUGUGCGUAAAUGUGUGGGUUGGGUUAAAGUGGAGCAGUCUCGCGGGAUCGGUCUUGCACGGGUAGCGG